rnacentral:rRNA from 1 species
UACAGAGGGUGCGAGCGUUGUCCGGAAUCACUGGGCGUAAAGGGCGCGUAGGCGGCCUGAUAAGUAGGGGGUGAAAUCCUGCGGCUUAACCGCAGGGCUGCCUUCUAAACUGUCGGGCUCGAGCACAGUAGAGGCAGGUGGAAUUCCCGGCGUAGCGGUGGAAUGCGUAGAGAUCGGGAGGAACACCUGUCGCGAAGGCGCUUUACUGGCUCAUUACUGACGCUCAGGGACGAAAGCUAGGGGAGCAAACGGG